UAGUUUUAUAAUCUUAUUAUAUUAUAUAAACUAAUAAGGAAAUAGUGUCCAAAAAGCCAAUUAAACAAGAAAACUCUUUUAUUGAUAGAAAAGCAAAACAAAUUUUCCAUGAAUUCUAAUAUCUGUUUUAUUCUGUCUGUUGGAUAUAUUUGAGUUCAAAAAUCAGUUUUUCUGUUGCUUUUGUCAUUAUUGUUGUUAAUCUCCCUAUGAAAACAACCCAAUGAGAUCACAAGUAUCCCUGCUUCAAACAGGUAGAACUACCUUGAUAAGACAUUGUCCUCAAUUAAAGUUAAUUAAAUUCUUAUUCUUAGCUAAGCAUUCCUACAUGGCACCAAUUGUAUUACUAGGUUGGUGACAUUAAUAAGUAUUGAUGUCAAGUCAUCAAAGCUGUUUCUCAAAUGUUAUCAAGUAAAUCAGAAACCAAAUCAGACUGAUGUUCAAUUCAUGAUUAAAUACCCCUCUAUAGAUAGGUCAGUUCAUUCUAAUAUGAACUAAAACAUCUGUGAGCCACAAUCACUAAUUUCAAAAGAAGCAUGGCCCAGAAGAGUGGUUUUUCAAAUUCAGAUUUAAAGUCCAGAUUCACAGGGGAAUGGACCUGAGGAGCCUGACCAGACUAGAUUAAAGUUUCUGGUUCUAAUUUAACCUUUAACUUCCACAACUGUCACCCACAGAAAAGCAUUUAAUGGAAAAAAUGGAAUUUUAACCAUUAUCUAAUUAAUUCAAUUGAUAUAGAUAGAAAUGGUGGAAAAGUCAGAUGCCAAAAUGUUUUUUAAAAAGCUAAUUUAUCCAUAUUUUCCAAAAACUACAUACCAAACUAAACAGAUAAUGGUCAUAUUUUCACUUUACCUUUAGCUAUGCAGAUAUAAAUUGUAUUUCCACACAACAUAUAGGCUGAAAAUAAAAAAAAAAAAUCAAGCCACAAUCCAGGCUUGUGGUCUAGAUAGCUCUAAAGCUCCUCUAGAUAUUUUUGCUUUCCAUCUAGAUAUUUAGACCACAUAGGCAUGGUCACAAGUUCAUUAUCAUUGCUACAUUUGAGUUACUAACUAGGAAAGGAAGCUUAUCUAAUUACCAACUCCCCGAGCCAAACAAGACUCUCCCCUUUCAUUAAAUAAAGAGAAAGUCAUUCGGAUUUAACCCCAGAGAAAUACGUACAUGCAUAUACCUGACUUCUCAGUAUCCUCUCUGGAUAAGAGGAUGGAACAACAAUUUGGUUUCCAUCUCAUUCUUGUAACGACAGAAAAGAGAAUACAAAAAGUCCAUUGUAAAUUUGUACAAAAUGUAUGCAUAUAUAAAUACAUAUCUAUGGGUGUAUAUAAAUUCUAAAGAAGAUUAUAUUCAUCUACAUCUUUAAGAUUCAGAGUCCCAUACAGUUGACAUAAUGGUAUUCUCUCUCCAAUUUUCUCAUUUUUAAAAACAAUAAGAAUCAAGCAUGCCACCUUAUUAAUACUGAGUAGCAAGUGCAGAAGUUGAGCUGUAGCUAUAGGGAUUUGAAGCAAUUCAUUUGACGGGACAUCAGUGAAUAAAAUCCUUAAAAUAAAUUUAGCUAUUUCCAGAUUGCCUUUUGUUUCAUAUAAAUGAAAUCCAAAAUGCCCUGUUGGUAGCAUCCCAAACUCCUGAGACUGUCAAUUGAGCUCAAUAAGAUGCAAUGCUCUAAACAGGGUCUGUGCAAAUUGCUUGGGUAUGUGCUUAUUGCAAUGAUUUGGUGUGGGGACUGGUAUUACUAGAAUUUCAUGUAAUUCACUAUCUCAUAAAAAAUCUCAAGUGACACCACCAGAAGCUUAGAAUUCUGAGUAUAUGAAACUCAGCAUGAAAUUUGACUCACAAACCACAUCAUCUUUACAAAGAGCACUGUUAAAAAUAUUAAACCACAGUCAGUUAAUGGAGAAAGGCAUACAUAUUUAAAGGUGCACAAUAAGAGCAUAUUAUGGAUGUGUGCCCAUGUUUAGAGGUAUCAAGAUGUUUUUUAAACAGUAUACAUAAUGCUUUUAUUUCUCCUGUUUCCUCUAUUUCUUUGGGGAAAAAUUAUAUAGGACAAUUUCAUAAUUACCCCCUAGAGUGUACAGGCUGCUCCUUGGAAGGGGAUUAUUAUUGCAUGCCUUGAAUGCACUGUGAUUCAUAAGGCAAGAACGUAAGAGUAGCUUCAGCACCAAGGAAAUGGAAUCAUCAUCCAGCACUGCUCACAACAGAACAUCUUAUUGCUUCAAUAAAAUGGGAAAUUAUUCACUGUAAGAAGUGCACCAAACAAGAGGGAGAAAGUAAUAUCCAUGCACUUAGUGGAGCUUAUUGGAAAUGAGGAAGCUCCCUUCUGAGUCCCUGAUUCUGUUCAAAUUUCAAGUCCAAAAGUCAUUCUGUAAUAAGGUAUUAAAGGGCUACAGCUGGAUGAGGGUGAGCCACAAAACUUAAUGGACUUUCUUCCUCACAGUGCCUUAGUCAUUCUGAUGUACAGUGUGGAGCUCUGAUGCACUAAAGGAUUCCCUAGUGGCCUGAGGGAGUUAAUGCACUCUUUUACCUAUUACUAGGAAGUGACUAAGGCACUGGAGAGAAUCUGGUUCAUUGUUUAAUAUAUUGAACCCAAAGAUUAUACCUGGUCUUCCUAAUAUUACAACAUGGCAUGCUUAAAUGAUGAUCCUCUGUGUUUCAGGAAAGGACGUGAGUGAAUAUCUAAUGGACGGUUAAAGUUAAGCUUAUUAAAUUAUUUGUAUAAAAGAUGCAGGUUGAGCUUGGGCAAUUUAACAGAUGACCUAAAACCUCAGAGGUAAUAUUUUUCUCUAGAUAAGAGCACAGAAGCCUGGAACCAACACAGAGAACCUAGAAUUAAUAGUUAUUUGGAAGAGGGAUGCACAUAGGGGCACUGUUGCCUUACACCGUGCGGGUUGAUAAGAAUUUUUUGAUUGAUUCAUUUUCAUUCAUAUAUUAUCCAAAUAUUUAAAUAGCUGUCAAAAAAAUUGGUUCCCAAGAAAGGAUGCCACUGCAUAUAUUUAAGAUUGCAAUAUGCUUCUGGCUCCUUCUAUCAUCAGUCCAAGGGAAACAAAGUGGUAAAUAACCAUAGGUGGACCCCAUUUCAAACAUAGAUGGCCUUCUCUGGCAUCAGGAGAGAGAAUAAAAAUAUUGAUCUUUCCUCUCACUUUGUUUUUCUCUCAACUAUUUUUUUUGUGUGUGUGUAUCCAGUGAAGGUAGGUAAGCCAGACUGAGAAAGAGAAAAGAGCCUUUCCUUCACUGCAUCUCAGAUGCAGGCACAAAUUUUUUACUAACAAGCUUCAUAUAUUUUUUUUUAUCCUACAAGUAGUUACUGGGUUUAACUUCUCAUGAAAUUUGCAUGUCCUGUCAUCCAAAUUGCCCAAUAUCCCCACCAGUCUCACCCCCAAACACAUACAGUACAAGCAAGCACACACACCACUGCCUCCAGGUGGUAAUUGCAUGCAGGGAGGACUACAGGCACUGUUUAAAUAUUAACCAUGUUUUAAUAGAUGGCAUUCCUGCACAUCCAUUAUUUGUUUGUUUUCUGUUGUGGUUGUCUCUGUUACUCGCAAAAGAAAAAAAGAAAACAUAUGUGUUAUCUUUUUAUAACAGUCUACUACAGAAUAAGGUACAAAAGAACACUUCUGGAAACAGCAGAAGCCAGGCCUGCCCACUGAAUUGCUCAUCCAGUGGUAACCAUUAUAUCAACAGCUGGAAAUUAAGAACAAGACUAUACAGUUUGGAGGAUGUAGUACAGAACUAUAGUUUGUUUCUGUAUUUGGUACCAAUAUAAUAAAUAUAUAACAAAGGUGCACUUGCUCUAAAAAUUAAACAGAAACAUUCUGGUUGGUUAGAUACUGCACUUUCAGUACUGCACAUCACCUAGUACUUUUUUUUUUGUACAAAAAAAGGUUAACUUAUGCAAUGUUUAAUAAUAAAACCAAUAGUACACGCAAACCCGAUCGUAGAAAAAGAAGAAAGAAACCAACAAAAAGCUAAAAUAGUCACUUCCCAAAACAGCCCCUCCUCUGCCUACACAACCAAAGAAACCAGUCCUGUGAAGCAAUUUCAGCACCACACCUGUCUGGACAGCUUCUGGAUCCUUUAUGAAUCCCGAAAAUGCCACAAGUCAAAGGUGAACAGCUGGGGGCGGGGCAGAGAGCUAAAGCAGCAGAUGUUGUUUUUUUUUCUUUUUCUUUCUUUCUUUCUUUCUUUCUUUCUUUCUU
rnacentral:lncRNA from 1 species